GAUGAAGAACGUAGCAAAAUGCGAUAAGUAAUGUGAAUUGCAGAAUUCAGUGAAUCAUCGAAUCUUUGAACGCACAUUGCGCCCGCUGGUAUUCCGGCGGGCAUGCCUGUUCGAGCGUCAUUUCAACCCUCAAACCCCCGGGUUUGGUGUUGGGGAUCGGCUCUGCCUCACGGCGGUGCCGCCCCCGAAAUACAUUGGCGGUCUCGCUGCAGCCUCCAUUGCGUAGAGCUAACACCUCGCAACUGGAACGCGGCGCGGCCAUGCCGUAAAACCCCAACUUCUGAAUGUUGACCUCGGAUCAGGUAGGAAUACCCGCUGAACUUAAGCAUAUCAAUAAGCGGAGGA
rnacentral:misc_RNA from 1 species